GAUGAACGCUGGCGGCGGGCUUAACACAUGCAAGCCGAACGGAAAGGCCCUGUCUUUGUCUUGUGCGCGAGUCGCGAACGCGUGACUCACACGCGACCAACCUGUACCUGACUGUGGGAUUACUUCAGGGAACUGUGGUUACUACUAGAUAAGUGGUCCUCCUGCUCUGGGGGUGUUGGCUCCGUUCGGCGGUUGGGGAUAGACUCGCGGCUGAACAGUUUGUUGGUGGGGUAGUCGCUUACCAAGGCGUCGACGGGUAGCCGGCCUGAGAGAGCGACCGGCCAAAUGGGGACUGAGAUACGGCACGGACUCCUACGGGAGGUAGGAGUGGGGAAGAUUGCACGAUGGGCGGAAGCCUGAUGCAGGAACGCCGCGUGCGGGAUUACGGACUUCUGGUGGUAAGCCGCAUUCGCAGGUGACGAAGCGUGGGUGAAGGUAAUGGGUAAAGAAGCACCGGCUAACUACGUG
rnacentral:rRNA from 1 species